AAAUGUAGUCAAACUUCAAAUGACAUUGGAAUAAGAUAGGAGGUUUCCUAAAGAACUCAAAAUUCAAACAAUGGCAAUGCCAUGGUUUAAAAAAAUAGGCUGCAACUUUCACAAUCAAGGUGCCAGUUAUCUGGUUCACAGGACGGCAUCUUCUCAGUGUGUCAGCUCAGAGCAAAAAGGGGAACUCGUUCCCUUGGGCUUGUCCUAUAAUGGCAUUAACCCAUUCAUAACACAAACCUGGGGGGGUACCAACCUCUAGACUAGCAGACUAAGUCAGGAGAAGUAACUAUGGAGAAUGGCAGGCUUCACUUGACUUGGCUAGCCCCCCCCCCCGUAUGGGGGAGAGGUACCAACAGUUUUCAUAAGCAAUCAAACUACCCACUGUGUACCAUGUCACAUCCGUGCAAUAUCCCAAAGUCUCCAGUGCCUCCUCAUGACCACCACAACAUCCCGUGUCUACUGCACCAUACCAACAAACUCAAAGGAGGA